rnacentral:snoRNA from 1 species
AAGGUCCUUGUAUCUCUCCCAUGCAUCAUAGAGUGUUUCUAAAUCCAUCUGCACAAAAGAAGAGAUAUCAUUACUCAAUUU